GCAGAUUUGGAGUUUUCCAAAUGAAGAAAAUGGAGAUUUUUCCGAGAGACAAACAAGAAACACGAAUUAGUCAAACCACAUGAACCACAUUAAAAGCUUUAUAAAAUAUUUUAGUACAUUCAUAGCGGUAUUCAUUUUUCGAACGGUAAAGAAACUACAAACAAACCAAGUCGCCAUGUUGAAAUUACGUCACAGGAGCAACUCGGACCACAAAAUCUUCUCCGACUUUAACGUCAUAAAAGGGGCGUGUUUCCGACGGGAAGUGAUGUUUUUCGUGACGUAUCGUGACGUUUUCAUCCGAGUUCCGACUUGGAGAGAAAUAAUCGAACGCACCAUUAGUUCUGUGCCCUUGUUUUAAUUGUGGUCGUUUCCCCCCCAUUGUACAUAUCCAAACGAUUCCGUUUCCAAAUUACAGUAUUAUGGUUUUGGGCCAAUCCACAUUUUCAGUUCUGAUUCAAUACACGACUGCCAAUACCUAUACAGAUUACAAUUAGAGUUUUUUUUCUUUAAUAUUUUAAUAUAAUAAAUAUAAACUCUGUGUUUUCCAUAUGUUUUUUUAAACUAAUAAAUACAGAUAAAAAAAUGUAUGCCAAAAAAUCUUUCGGCAUCUGGAAACGUCGCCUCAUUCGUACAUCUUUUUAAGCAUUUCUGAGGCAUUUGGAGUUCAAUCCGAAUAUCUUCCAAGUGAGGAUAUGCAAGUGCCGAAUGCUUAAAAUGCCCCACAAUUUUUCUCCCACUGGCAAACAGCAUCACUUACACUUCAGUGCAAUCGGAGCCCCUCGUGUAUCACAAGCUGUAGCGACUGCACAAAUCAGUCCAAGCUAGCAAGUCCCAAAUCAUCCAUUGCUGUUUUUCGUAUUAUUCAUGUCUCUCACAAUCACAUGGGAUUUUCCACUAAACACUUCUUCCCUCUCUCAGAACUUUGAUUUUGCAAAGACUACAUUUCACUGUUACUAUUUGUUAAAAGCUGAAAAUACUUUCAGAUUGUCCCCCUCUUCCGCUGAUCUUGCACUCCCCCUACUGCCAAUGGUAUGUGCAUGAUGCCAGCAGGCGGGUUCCAGCGUUAGUGUUCAACUUCAAUGCCACAUAACUGUUGUGCGAUUGAUUGUACAAAUUGACUUAAAUGCGAGGUAUCUUCAUACAGACUGCCGAAGAAAAACUAAAGUAUCAGACGUGAAUGUCACAUAUGGCCAAAACCUGAUCAGUCAAAUAGUCUGGAUCUGUGCCAAUACCAAUCUGAAUAUUUGAUUGGUUCACCUCUAGUAACAGAUGUUGUCUCUGCUUUAUUUCUGCAGUUUCUGUUUCUUCAAUUGUUUUUUUUUUUUUCCCUCCUGAUGUAUUUUUGUGUAGCUGGGUACAUAAAGAUUAAGCAGGACUACUAAAUUUUAACUUAAUUACCUGCUCAUAAGGAUAAAUCUUUACACUAUAAGAUGUGUAAACAAAAACUCGGAGUGAAUUUUGGUUGGGCUGCAGAACAUCACUUUUUCAGUGAGGUGGGGUUGUACCUGUGGUAGAUGCAUGUUAUGUUAUGGAAUCUAUUAAAAUCAGGGCUGUAACCUUUUACUGUCUGUUUCCAGGCGCCCUGCGAGUCUUCAUGUUGACUGUUUCAGUGUGUCCUGUUCAUGCAUUGGCUUUUCCACUAGAUGUCAUGUUCAGUCAGCCAUGAGUCUGGUUUUUGGACCCCUCCCCCUUGCUAAAGUGCUAUGGGAUGAGGCUUGAUGUCUGAAGUCUGCUGUCUUUUUCUAGGACUUGAGGUAAGAACUCCCUGUAAAUCCACCAGUAUUUUCUUAUUGGGAGGGGUAUUUGAAUCGAAGACCCUUCCAAUCAUGCUGUAGUUAAAUCCCAUUUAAGAACACUGUAAAACUAAAUUCAUGGAUGAUUAGACUAACGGUUCAUUCACCCCAAGUAACUUAUCUGUAUGAUGUGAACUGAUGUCCGCUUUGAAGAUAGUACUAACAGCCAUGUUUCUUGUGUAGUUUAAAUAUGGGGUGAUGAGCACUUCAGAAUCUUUGGUAGGAUGCUGGUUAACUUGGGUUAUUUUUCUGUUCUAGAUGAAUGUGUAUUAUAUAAUCAUUCUGUAAUUCUGACCCGUGUUAUAAUAAAGUGUAAAUCAAA